UACGGGGGGGCAAGCGUUGUUCGGAAUUACUGGGCGUAAAGGGCUCGUAGGUGGCCAACUAAGUCAGACGUGAAAUCCCUCGGCUUAACCGGGGAACUGCGUCUGAUACUGGAUGGCUUGAGUUUGGGAGAGGGACGCGGAAUUCCAGGUGUAGCGGUGAAAUGACGUAGAUAUCUGGAGGAACACCGGUGGCGAAGGCGGGUCUCUGGGCCGAUACUGGACGCUGAGGAGCGAAAGCGUGGGGAGCGAACAGG
rnacentral:rRNA from 1 species